GGGGAUUUAGCUCAGCAGCAUAAGCACCUGCCUUGCAAGCAGGCAGUUGUGAGUUCGAUCCCCAGAAUUUCCU
rfam:Cavia porcellus supercont2_30 genomic scaffold, whole genome shotgun sequence.